rnacentral:tRNA from 1 species
GUUGUUGUGGCCCAGUGGUUAAGGCGAUUGACUAGAAAUCUUUUGGGAUCGUCCCGCACAGGUUCGAUUCCUGCCGACAUCG